rnacentral:rRNA from 1 species
UACGUAGGUGGCAAGCGUUGUCCGGAUUUACUGGGCGUAAAGGGCUUGUAGGCGGUUUGUUAAGUCUGGUGUGAAAUCUCCCGGCUCAACCGGGAGGGGUCAUCGGAUACUGGCAGACUAGAGACGGGUAGAGGAAAGCAGAAUUCCCGGUGUAGCGGUGAAAUGCGUAGAUAUCAGGAGGAACACCCGUGGCGAAGGCGGCUCUCUGGGACGGUACUGACGCUGAGACGCGAAAGCGUGGGGAGCGAACAGG